GUCGUAACAAGGUUUCCGUAGGUGAACCUGCGGAAGGAUCAUUAUCGAGUUUUGAAAGGGGUUGUAGCUGGCCUUUCGAGGCAUGUGCACGCCCCGCUCAAUCCACUCUACACCUGUGCACUUACUGUAGGUUUCGGAGGCGAAGCGGGCUUCAUCGCUCGCGGACCCGACGGGCUUACGUUUUAUUACAAACCCUUCAGUAUCAGAACGUGUAUCGCGGAUUAACGCAUUAAAUACAACUUUCAGCAACGGAUCUCUUGGCUCUCGCAUCGAUGAAGAACGCAGCGAAAUGCGAUAAGUAAUGUGAAUUGCAGAAUUCAGUGAAUCAUCGAAUCUUUGAACGCACCUUGCGCUCCUCGGUAUUCCGAGGAGCAUGCCUGUUUGAGUGUCAUGAAAUUCUCAACCUACGAGCCUUUGCGGGUUUAGUAGGAUUGGACUUGGAGGCUUGUCGGCCUUGUCGGUCGGCUCCUCUCGAAUGCAUUAGCUUGGUUCCUUGCGGAUCGGCUCUCGGUGUGAUAAUUGUCUACGCCGCGACCGUGAAGUGUUUGGCGAGCUUCUAACGGUCUCUUCGGAGACGAUCUUAUGACCUCUGACCUCAAAUCAGGUAGGACUA
rnacentral:rRNA from 1 species